rnacentral:rRNA from 1 species
GACGAACGCUGGCGGCGUGCUUAACACAUGCAAGUCGAACGGAAAGGCCCUGCUUUUGUGGGGUGCUCGAGUGGCGAACGGGUGAGUAACACGUGAGUAACCUGCCCUUGACUUUGGGAUAACUUCAGGAAACUGGGGCUAAUACCGGAUAGGAGCUCCUGCUGCAUGGUGGGGGUUGGAAAGUUUCGGCGGUGGGGGAUGGACUCGCGGCUUAUCAGCUUGUUGGUGGGGUAGUGGCUUACCAAGGCUUUGACGGGUAGCCGGCCUGAGAGGGUGACCGGCAAAAUUGGGACGGGGAUAGGGCCCAGACUCCUACGGGGGGAAGAAGGGGGGAAUAUGGCAAAAUGGGCGGAAGCCUGAGGCAGAAAGGCCGCGGGCGGGAUGACGGCUUUCGGGUGGUAAACGGCUUUAGCAUGUGACGAAGCGUGAGUGACGGUAAUGGGUAAAGAAGCACCGGCUAACUACGUG